UGUUAUGACAAUACACGUGAAUCUUCCGUAAGACUUGAACUGCAGUUUUGCAACAACUGGUAUUUAUAUACAUUUUCAGAAUUCAUUGUUAUGAAUUUCUCUGUGUAGGUGCUGCAUUCAUUCUGAAGAGAGAACAUAAUUUGAAAACAGUAUUGUUUUUGUUGUCGUCUCAAAAUGGAUCCAGGAGGCCCUCCCCCUGGAGGACCAGGAGGCCCAGGAGGUCCUCCACCUCCAGGUGGUGGUGGUUGGGGUCCUUUCAGUUUCAUAGAUUCAUGUCUGGCCAUCUUGUGUUGUUGCUGCCCAGGUGACGGGCCGCCGCCGCCUCCUCCUCCUCCAUAAAAAGCACGGACUCACAUCUAACUACCAUUGGAUUGCAUAAUACAACUUAGCAUUUAUUCCAAUUUGUUCUAAUUAUCAUGCAAUUUGUAAGUUCAUACAGUUAGCUUUGGAUUGCAGUCUACUGAUCAUCUCUUUCUCAUUUGGUGAAUAAGGGCUUGUGAAGAUCCUUUUGAGCAGGAUCUUAGUGCCGACGCAUGUGAUUGAAAAAAGAUUUUAGUUCUUCUUCUGUGUGUUGUGUUUGAAUCUGCUUUGAUGGUUUCGUUGCAGAAGCGAUUUUCAUUCAGUCUAUUAUAACUUUUGAGUAAAUAAAUAAUUUGGUACCAUCAGGUCAGAUCUAGAUCAA